rnacentral:tRNA from 1 species
UCCUACUGAUGGAGAUUGGAACAAUUUCUGUCUUUGCUUCAAAUAAAGGAAAAGCAAAGAUGGAAAUUGUUCCAUCUCCAUCAGUAGGAUCC